CCGAGUGCGAACCCCCCCGUAAAAAAGGGGGGUUACCUCCCGUCCUUUGCUGGACAACCCCCUCCAAUCGGAUGGGGGUUGUUUUCAGACUCCUUCUGCUUCGGCGGGGUAACUCGCCGGAACAACCUCAAAAUAUUCUCAGUUAAAAAACCGUUCAGUCCGAGAAACUUUUUUAAAAGCGAUA
rnacentral:misc_RNA from 1 species